rnacentral:lncRNA from 1 species
AACCCAGGGAACGCCGUGCUGGCGGCGGGCUGAGGCAAGGAGCCGGGGGUUUCGGCUGUCGGACUCCGCUGCCUGCCGUGGGUUGGGCCGGCGCCUCGCCAGGCCCAGGCCUAUCUGCCGGCAUUCGAGCGAGAAGCAAACAGAACGCUCGCUCCGCGCCCAAAAACGAGCCCCACUCCCCGCCGGGUGGGCUCGCAGCACAGGCGCCCGGUCAGGGAAUGGCAGGCAACCCGCGGCAGCCUCCCCUCCUCCGCUCCUUACAAGGACUCCAGGUGCUGGAGCUUCUGGAGCUGCUGCGCCUCCUCUUUCUUCCUCUUCCUCUCAUGCCGGCCCUGGCUCCUGCCGCCGCCGGCCGCGGACUCGUGGAGGCUCCCGUGCCGCGCCUGGCUGCCCCUCGCCGCUCCCUCCUCCCCCUCCUCCCGUCCCCCUCUCAGCCCGUGGGACAUUAGCGCGGCGAGCAGGAAGACAACGAGACCGCAGGAACACCUCCUUCCCCGCCCUCCCCGCUGCGCAUUUCGGUUUCACUUCCCGGGCCGGGCGGGGCGCUCCGGCCAAGCGCCGCCUUCCUCCGGCGACACUGCGAGCGCGGCCGGGCCCCGGCACGGCCUACGUCGGUGCGGUGCUAUUUCGGUUUGCUGAGGGUCCGUUGGUGCUGAGGAGGUGUGGGUUACGGGACAGGCCACGGACCAGAAGUGCACGCCCUCCUAAAAAGCUCCCGCCGUGGCUCUGGUGCCUGACAAGCACAGGGCACAUCCAUUCUCUUCUGUGUGUGAGCACUGCCAGGGUGCUGCGUCUGUCCCACAGUUCUCAAUUAAUUCGAUCGUACAAUCAUACAGUCAAAUAGCAGAUUUCACACCAGGAUCAUAGCAGUUGACCUGAGCUGCAGAACUCACUGAGGCCCACUUCUAAAGGCUCAGAGACAGAAUCAUUUUGCUACUCUCAGUUAAAUAUCUGCCCAUUUGCAUGAGGCAAAUGCGAGGUAGUAUGAUUUAAGGCAAUCCACUUUGCAUCAGGUAAAGCAUAUUACUGGAUGUUUGUCGGAGGCUAAGAACUUUGCUACCAUGAUACUGCUGGUUUGUGGCAAUGCCAAAUGGCAAUCAGUCCCAUGCGUUGUCAUGUGUCUUCAAGGAACGAGUGAAGCAGGAGAGAUUAGUCAAACUUUGGAACAGCUUUCCAGAGCCUUUGGAUGGUAACAGAAAAGAUAAUUAAUUCCAAGAUGGAGUGUUUCCCAUUUAUGAAUGGUAUUGUUGAGAAGGGAUGCGUGCAAUAAGAAAAAAAAGAAAGGAGAUCUCAGGAAACCAUACCAGUCUCACUUUCAUUUACUCUUUACUGCCCUAGCUUGGCUGAAAUGAACAGAGUUCUGCCAGUCUGGAGCAGUGCUUCAGAUAUUUCAAGAAGUUAAUUCUGGGGGAACUGUUCUCAUAUUGCAACUCCUGACUGUCAGAGCACUCUAAUUCCAGCCUCAAAGCAUCUAAGCAGACACUCUGCAAUUGCUACUGCAGUUUAAACCAUCUGAAGAGCUGGUAUGUUUCAC